CUACCUCCAUAAUGGCCAUAGCAGAAGCGUUCACAUCGUGGACCCUGUCAGAUUCCAAUGAAUCUGCUAAAUUCUGCU
rnacentral:ribozyme from 1 species